GAUGAACGCUGGCGGCGUGCCUAACACAUUCAAGUCGAACGGAGUUAAAUAUCUUAAUCUUCGGAAGCGGAUGUUUGACUUAGUGGCGGACGGGUGAGUAACGCGUGAGUAACCUGCCCUUAUGAGUGGAAUAACACAGGGAAACUUGUGCUAAUACCGCAUGACAAGUAGAGAUCGCAUGUUCUUUACUUCAAAGAUUUAUCGCAUAAGGAUGGACUCGCGUCCGAUUAGAUAGUUGGCGGGGUAACGGCCCACCAAGUCGACGAUCGGUAGCCGGACUGAGAGGUUGAACGGCCACAUUGGAACUGAGAUACGGUCCAG
rnacentral:rRNA from 1 species